GCCUGGGUGGCUCAGUCGUUUGAGCAUCUGACUUCGGCUCAGGUCACAAUCUCACCCCUCUGUGAGUUCGAGCCCCACAUGGGGCU
rnacentral:tRNA from 1 species